rnacentral:rRNA from 1 species
GAUGAACGCUGGCGGCGUGCCUAAUACAUGCAAGUAGGACGCAGUUGCGAACGGGUGAGUAACGCGUAGGUCACUACCUAUUAGUGGGGGAUAACUACUGGAUACGAUAGCUAAUACCGUCUACUAGUCGAUUGACCUGGGUUGUAUUGGCUCGUAGGUAGGGUAAAGGCCUACCUAGGUAACGUUACAUAGGCGCCCUGAGUGGGUGAUCGGCCCAACUGGGACGUAGACAAGGCCCAGACUCCUUCGGGAAGCAGGAGUAGGGAAUCUUCGGCAAUGGGGGGAACCCUGACCGAGCAACGCCGCGUGAGUGAAUAAGGUUUUCGGAUCGUAAAGCUCUUGUGUUAAGGAAGCGGUACUUAACCAGAAAGGGACGGCUAACUACGUGCCAGCAGCCGCGGUAAUAC